CUCCAGCACGCCAUGUGACGGCGACGAGCCUGCUACCCUUGACACAAAGGGAGCUCAGGGACGCGCCUUCGGAGUCCCUGGGGAGGCAGGGAGUCGGCGCCAGGGAACCACACCAGUUCACAACCAGAGCUGCCAACUCCAGAGCGCUCGCGUCCCACGACCAACACUCCCAACUCGGCCCACCGGCUCGCCCUUCCCUCGCCCGCCAAAAAGAUGCCAUCUCACCUGGCUCCAGAUUCCUGUACCCCCCCCAGGGGACGAUGGCAAGGGAGACACGCCACCCUCGCCCCUUUGCCCUCCAGUGGGUACGUAGGCACGAGGUUGGCCAUUCCCCUCCCCCCCAAGUGGCCCUCUCGGGCUGGCCCCAGUCCACACUCCCAUUGGCUGUCAGGUGUUUGAAAGACAAGUCUUUCCCCCUUGGGAUUUUCCUCCUGAACCCCAAGAAUUCUUCCCACUCCCCACCUUUACUUAUGUAUUUAAAUGACCGACGGCGUCCCCGCCCCAGGGGCCCCUGCUCACCUGGAUCCAGGAGCCACGGGGGGGCCCUCGAAAGUCGCCCUCAGCCAGGCUGGGGGGGAGCACGGAAUCCGGGGUGUCAACCCCCCCGGAAGCCAAGAAGGCGUUGGGGGAGGGGGCGUAGCCCCCAGCCCCUCCCUUCCCUAGCCGCUGGGGGUGGGGGAAAGCAUCGGGGCCGCGCGGCCACGUCAGCAGCCCUCGGACUGGCUGGGCCGGGUCACGUGUCCGCUCCCCCCACGGCCACGAGGGCGAGGUUUCCGAACACUGCCGAGGGUCGUGUGCGGGGUCACAGGGGCUGCACGGCUCAGACAUGCGUCCCGAGACCCCAGACCUCGCCAAGGCUGCUGCCUCGCCAAGUCCCCGGCCUCCCGCGCGGCCGUGGUCGCCCCCGUCCCCCCCACUCGCCUCUCGACUUGAAGCACACACAGCCACAGUUUCUUCCUCACCUCCCCCUCCGCAGCCCACCACAAUCUGGAGUUGACUCCUACUACAGUUGGGAGAGUGUUCUCAGUAAAUGUGCCUUCCAUCGUAUAACUGCCAGAUCUGACACUCCUCAGCCCUUCCUGCAUCCAGAGUGGGCCACUCUGCUUCCAUCACCUGGGGCUGCCUCCCCCCCCCCACUGUGUUCCCGGCACCUCCAGAUUCUUGGGAUUAGCAUAUGCGGUGUUAGUUACUCUCCGAAGAUCCUCCCGGACUUGGUGUCCCUCCUGGCUUUCCUGGCUGGCUUCCUGUGGAUUCUGCCAGCAGUAGACACCGAAGAAAACCCAGAAACUUAAAGCUUCAGUCUCCCGUCCGGUGACAGACAGUUGUGGCCCUUGUUGGUGGAGGUAGCCAUUGCAGCAGUCUGGAUGACAGCUUCCUCGAAGAAGCUCCUCCAGGAUCCUGAGCUUGGUGGCAGCUUCAAAGGAGAUGGAUCUCCAUGGCCUCCAGUGCCUCUACCUGGCUGCCGCAGAUGCAGACGGGGUUCUGGCUCGGGCUGGGGCAGUGUCUGGUCCCACCCUCCAUGUCUUGUGGCUUCAGUUGCAGGAAGCCUCCACCCUUUGGCCCUUCCUGCCUCUUUACCGUCUUCGAAUCUGACUUUAUACAUCCCGUUCUCCCAAUCUAAUGUGCCUGCGAACCCAGCACUGGGUGGCUAAGGCCACUCUGCUGUGAGUUUGAGGCCGGCUCUAUAGGGACGUCCAUCUCAACAAAGCAAAGCAAACGAGCCUGGAUUCCAGGCGUGGCUCAAUGCUCCUGCCUGGGGGCUGGGUGGUAGCUGAUGAGGUUGGACCCCUGCAGCCCUGAGUCUGUGACCCCCUUUACCUUCAGCGCAGUCUACUUGGUGAUUUGACCCUCUGCUUCAUCUGUGGUCCCUCUUCCUCCACCUCACCACUCCUGUGGGCUGUUCCACAGCACCCCAAAUUUAAAACAUCUACGAUCAUAUCCCCCCCAUCUCCUCUUCCUUCCUCUUCCCUCCUCCGUUUUGUCCCCCCCCCAACCCAACCCAACCCAGGGCCUCAUACAUCUUAAGACAAGUGCUUUACAAAUAGACUACAGCCUUCUCUAACCCAGACUCAAGCUGGCCUUGAACUCACUUGGUAGCCCUGUAGGCAUAAAUUGUUUGCAACCUACUUUCAAUAAGGGUUCAACCUUUCUUCUAACCCACCACCCAGCAGAGGUAGGGGAACAGAAAAGCUAAUAGGAUGUGGGGGGGAGUGGACCUGUUCGGCAGUAGUUCUUUGGGGGGUGAGCUCGGUCUUCCUCAGCAGCAGUUCAAUCCCACAACAAACAGCAAAUAAGACGCAGCAGCUGCAGACCGGCCCUCUAGGCAGGCAGACAGCACGCACGAACCAGCAGCUGCAGUCCAGUCCUUUCAGCAAGCAGACACCAGGCUGUAGUAGUUCAAUCUUGAAGAAACUGCCAGGCUCACCAACAGCCUGAGGCGAGGCCACCAGAGGCAGCAAGCUGCAGCUGUACCACAAGUCCCACAAAUCGAGCUGUAUAAGGUGAAACAAUACAUGUGUCAUUAGCGAAGAAUAGCGAGGCGGAGCAAACCAAACCAAUGGUCAGUGCUCCUCCCCUACUGCCUGUGAGGUCACAUUUAUACUCCUUCAUCAUGGGUCCCUUCCCGUGUCUGCUAUGUCCAAACACCCUUUCACCUGUGUCUGCUCCAGGAAAACAGCCUUUCCCGUGUCUCCUUUAGCAACUCUUCCUUUCACCUGUGUGCCCCAGCAAACCAUCAUUUGACAUAACUUUUCCAAAGAUACUGGAAGUUUCCUUUUUGUAGCCCGACCUUGAACUUGCGAUCUUGUACUCCAGGCCCCGAGUAUUGGGGAUCAGGGGUAUUCAUCUCCAGGUCCAGCUUCCCCAUCUUUCAGUAAGCCCUUGGUAGCCAAGCCCUUCAGAGCCAGCUUCCUCAUCAUCCCGGCGUUCGAGUGCAUUUUCUUUGAGUAUCACCUCAUCUGGAACCUUUUCAUCUCCAGCCAUUUAUGAUGGGAAGGCAUAUUAAUGUCCACUCCUGACAAACGGAGCCAGUUGGCCAGUGGUUUUAGGUUUUCCCAAGUUCCAGUGGUUUGAGAUAUCAAAACCACUCAAAAAUGCUAAAUUUGCCUGCUGACAGUGGCACACUCCUCUAAUCCCAGCACUCUGGGAGUCCGAGGCAGGCAAAUUCUUAUGGUUCAAAGCCAGCUUGGUCUUCGUGGUAAGUUCCAGGCCAGCCAGAGUGCUAUGCAGUUAGGCCUUUUCUUAAGAUGAUGAUGAUGAAAGGGGGCUGGAGAGAUGGCUCAAUGGUUAGAGCACUGACUGCUCUUGCCAAGGUCCUGAGUUCAAUUCC
ensembl:lncRNA